rnacentral:rRNA from 1 species
AUUGAACGCUGGCGGCAGGCCUAACACAUGCAAGUCGAGCGGAGCGGAGGACGGGUGAGUAAUGCCUAGGAAUCUGCCUGGUAGUGGGGGAUAACGUCCGGAACAGGGCGCUAUUACCGCAUAAUAUCAGAAGAGCCUAGGUCGGAGUAGCUAGUUGGGGGGGUAAAGGCCUACCAAGGCGACGAUCCGUAACUGGUCUGAGAGGAUGAUCAGUCACACUGGAACUGAGACACGGUCCAGACUCCUACGGGAGGCAGCAGUGGGGAAUAUUGGACAAUGGGCGAAAGCCUGAUCCAGCCAUGCCGCGUGUGUGAAGAAGGUCUUCGGAUUGUAAAGCACUUUAAGUUGGGAGGCGUUACCAACAGAAUAAGCACCGGCUAACUUCGUGCCAGCAGCCGCGGUAAUAC